CAGCAGCCCGAGUGGUGGUCGUUUUUAUUGGGCCUAAAGCGUCCGUAGCCGGUCUAGUAAAUCCUUGGAUAAAUCGUACAGCUUAACUGUACGGCUCCCGGGGAGACUGCUAGACUUGGGACUGGGAGAGGUCGGAGGUACUCCAGGGGUAGGGGUGAAAUCUUGUAAUCCUUGGGGGACCACCAGUGGAGAAGGCGUCCGACCAGAACGGGUCCGACGGUAAGGGACGAAGCCCUGGGUCGCGAACCGGAUUAGAUACCCGAGUAGUCC
rnacentral:rRNA from 1 species